UACGGAGGGUGCGAGCGUUAAUCGGAAUUACUGGGCGUAAAGCGUGCGCAGGCGGUUAUGCAAGACAGAUGUGAAGUCCCCGGGCUCAACCUGGGACCUGCAUUUGUGACUGCAUAGCUAGAGUACGGUAGAGGGGGAUGGAAUUCCGCGUGUAGCAGUGAAAUGCGUAGAUAUGCGGAGGAACACCGAUGGCGAAGGCAAUCCCCUGGACCUGUACUGACGCUCAUGCGCGAAAGCGUGGGUAGCAAACAGG
rnacentral:rRNA from 1 species